rnacentral:pre_miRNA from 1 species
AGAAUAUAAAAAACCGUCUCUUAACUUUUAACUAAAAGAACUAAGAACCGGUUCUUAACUUUUUUAGUUAAAAGUUAAGAGACGGUUUCUUAUAUUCC